rnacentral:rRNA from 1 species
CUAUGCGCCUUGCCAGCCCGCUCAGGUGUGCCAGCAGCCGCGGUAAUACGUAGGGGGCAAGCGUUAUCCGGAUUUACUGGGUGUAAAGGGAGCGUAGACGGUUGUGCAAGUCUGAAGUGAAAGCCCGCGGCCCAGCUGCGGGACUGCUUUGGAAACUGCCCGGCUAGAGUGCUGGAGAGGUAAGCGGAAUUCCUAGUGUAGCGGUGAAAUGCGUAGAUAUUAGGAGGAACACCAGUGGCGAAGGCGGCCUGCUGGACGACAACUGACGGUGAGGCGCGAAAGCGUGGGGAGCAAACAGG